UCAAGGCACUUGCAUUCUGGCAGAAGACAGUUUAAAAAACAGACACUGUUCCUUUCUCUGGCUACCAGGCUACUGAAAUAUUGAGCCCCAAAGAAUUAUAGUUUCCCCAGGAUAUCCUGCUAGGGGAAGAGACGUGCUGAAGCCCUGAUGGCAGCCGGCCCGAGGAGGAACUUGCCUCCUAGGAAGAGAUUUCACACAGUUCUGACAACUUGUGGGACUUUCUUUCUCGGGAGAAACUGGAGCACAGACAUUAAUGGGAGGCCAAAGAGCCGGGUGGAGAGGACCUGUGACCCCGGAGCAGUCCAACUUUGAACAGGGUCAGAGUUGAACGUUCUCAGAAAGUUCUAGUCCUUCUGCGGCUGCCUUCCCACAAGGAAAAAUCGCUGACAGGACAUAGUCAGCACCCCUGCUGCCCCACCCAGCCUUGCCAGCUUGCUCUUGGUCCCUGCCCUUUGCCUUCUGGCUCUGGCUUCCUCUAAGACAGUGGCACCAGAGAGGAAAGGCGAAGUGCAGAGGUGUGUGGGGCCAGGGACUCUGGGUUAGGGUGAAAGACCCCAGGAGAGCCACCAUCUGUCAAGCAAGAACUGGGAGCCUCAUAAAAGAAUUGGGGCGGGGGAGGUUGUAGUCUGGCAACAAUGGCCAAAUGAGGUUGGUCUGAGUUGGGACCUUGGGAAAAAGAAUCAAUGAAGGAUUAAAGUGGGGAUAAUUUUAAUAGCUAACACUUAUUAAAGGCUUACUAAGUGUCAGAUGCAAGGCCAGGUGCUUAACACGAGUGAUCUCAUUUAACUCUCUUAAAUGUCUUUAUUAUCACUGCGUUAUUCUUGGGUAGUGGAAAUUCUGGCUCAGAGAGGUUAGGUAGCUUGUCUGAGGUCCACAGCCAAUGAAGGAAGACUGAGGCCUAGAACUCACAUAAGUUUGAAACAUAAUCUUAGGUAACCUCUUCACUGCAUAGCUUCAGAGGUACCAAGGAAGGUGCUAGUAACUCCAUUAUAGGUCUUGAGAAAGACCACUGGGAGCAAGAGGUCCUGGAGAAAUGCAGAAACAGUUUUGGGGAGGAUCGUGUCUCACUAAUGCAGCCUAUGAUGAGAAGCCUUUGUUGUUCUCAGCCUCCUGUCUCUGUCAAAUCCACGUGGAGCUCCAGCCCUGUGCAACACAGAGGAUCAUGGGCCAGUGACAGGGCUUGAGGCUAGUUGGAACAGCUGUGCUAGAGCUCAGGAAAUCACCGCACAGAAGAAGUUGACUUCCUGACUUCCAUAUCCCUAGGAUGAUGAAGUUUGAGCUAGAAGGGUGUGCUAGGGACUCAUGACAGCCAGGCCUGAGACAGGGAAGGCGCCGGUUCACGGACUGUGCCGGAGGGCUCUCUAUAAAAGGCCAGCACUGUUUUGACACCUGCUGUUUUCUCCUGUGCAAACCUUUCUAUUCAGAUUCCCACAGGAGGCCUUUGGAGUGUUCUUUGAGAUUGCCUUGGAUCUGGCCUGGCCCUUCUAGCCAGGGACAGUGAUUCACCCCGACCAGAACAUUGACAUCUGCUCAGGAGAACACUGUGUGCUCUGGACUGGUGCCGGAGCCCAAGGGAAAAGGGAAGUGUGCAGAACCCAUAGGCCAAGGGAAAGCCUGGGCGGGCUUCUGCUAUGGCAGCUGCUCAAACACUUCCAUCUAAGCCUGGCCUUCUUCCUUUGGGCAGUGGGCGACCAUGGUACCGUCACCGGGUGCUUCCUCAGCUCUUCUUGGGGGCUGUUUUCCCGCAGGACUCUGGCCCAGGGAAUGAUGCUCCACACAGUCAAGGAUGAAGCCACACAAGUUCAGGAGUUCUCAUCUGUCCAUGAGCCUCCUAUGCAAGAUUUCUAAGGCUUUGUCCGCUGAACAAAUGCUGGACGAAAUGACUGACUCUACAGGAGGAGGACUUUGGCCUUGAUGCUUCGAGGGCAGAUUCUGGGAAGUUCCCCUGCCCAUCCCAUUAUGGGGUGCCUGUCUAGGCGAGUUGUAACUUCUCUGAAGGGCUUAAUGCCUUUCUAGGAGAAGAGCCGCAAGUAGGUCACAUGGGUUAAACUGGCCUGAAGUGUAUGGAAAAACAACUCCCCAGACUUUGGAACUCAGCAGCUUCCCUUCAUGCUAUCCGGGGGAACAGGGGCUCUGCUCCAACAUGUGUGUGGGACAACAAUUUGAAGCUUGAUGUUCAGUCAAAACCACACAGACUUAUGUAACGUGACCCAGUUCCUUGAUUUUGUAAAGAAGGCGGGGGAGGGGAGUCAACUGCGAGAAGAGAAUGUAGUUAUUUACCAGUUUCUUCCUAAGGGCAAAAAAACAGAAUGUUCAGCAUUCAAGGGAGGGGCGGGAGUUGGGUUCUGCCUGAGUAAUUCUUGCUCACUGGAAAGACAGGGUCAGGUGACAAACUUCCAUAGCUAGGCCUAGCACCAGAAAGGGCCCUGGCUAGGGGCCGGGCAAAUGCCUUCCUGAAAUCCAAGUGCCUCCAGCCCUUUGUAACUUUGCCCUGGUCUCCCAUUUCCUACGUGGAUGGGAAUGUUAGACAGGUCGAUGCUGUAGGCCCUGCAGGGGAAAUUGGAGGUAGAAGACAUUGAGAAGGAGGAGCCCUUGAGAGGAAGUACUGCAGAGCCCCUGGCCUGCUCACACCACACACACACACACACACACACACACACACACACACACACACAGGUGCCUCUGAGUUAGUAUGGCCCAGGUUGGCCUGCAAUCUACCGUCUGCCUACUUCACCUUCUCCAGUGCUGCUAUUCCAGGCUUUCCUCACCAUGCUUGACCCUUGCCUUUUCCUACUUCUCCCUCCUCUCCCUCCUCCCCCUUCUCUUUUGGGCCCAGGUCUCACCACGUAGGCCAAGCAGACCUAGAACUCACCAGGUAGCCCCAACUCAGGGUUACAGUAAUUCCCCUGCCUCCGCUUUUCAGGGACUGAGAUGACAGCUGUGUGCCAUCACCCACAACCCUUGCCUUUUUCUGAAGGCCAAAGGAACACAUGGCUCUAUCUCUCUCUUAGUCUUGAAGCUUCUGAGGCAGGGAGUGACACAAGCGAAUUAUAGGGGACAAUAAGGCCUUCCAUAACCCUUCGUCGACGUCUGUGUCCUCCUCUGUGUGGUAGUGAUGGCUCUCCAGGAAGGCUGAAGACUGUUGACAUGAAUCUGUACUCCUAGGUUUGGGGAACUGGGUGUUAUUGCAUAAUUAUUCCAUCCGUACACAAAGGAAAUCCUUAAGACCUGAAAGAAUGCUACAUUCUUGAGGGCAUGUGCCUGCUGUGGUGGCCUUUGCCUCUACUCCUAACACUUGAGACAGCGGGAAAGAGAAUGUCAAGUUCAAAGACAGCCUGGGCUCCAUAGCAAGAUCCCAUCUCAAAAAUCAAUGCACGAGCCGGCCGGUGGUAGCGC